rnacentral:rRNA from 1 species
UUUUAUGAGAGUUUGAUCCUGGCUCAGGACGAACGCUGGCGGCGUGCCUAAUACAUGCAAGUCGAACGCUUCUUUUUCCACCGGAGCUUGCUCCACCGGAAAAAGAGGAGUGGCGAACGGGUGAGUAACACGUGGGUAACCUGCCCAUCAGAAGGGGAUAACACUUGGAAACAGGUGCUAAUACCG